UACGGGGGGGGCAAGCGUUGUUCGGAAUUACUGGGCGUAAAGGGCUCGUAGGUGGCCAACUAAGUCAGACGUGAAAUCCCUCAGCUUAACUGGGGAACUGCGUCUGAUACUGGAUGGCUUGAGUGUGGGAGAGGGAUGCGGAAUUCCAGGUGUAGCGGUGAAAUGCGUAGAUAUCUGGAGGAACACCGGUGGCGAAGGCGGCAUCCUGGACCAUGACUGACGCUGAGGAGCGAAAGCCAGGGGAGCAAACGGG
rnacentral:rRNA from 1 species